AGCCUUAAGUAUAAGAUUUAAGGUGAAGCCUGCCCAGUGAUUUUUUUUAACGGCCGCGGUACUUUGACCGUGCUAAGGUAGCAUAAUCACUUGACUUUUAAAUGAAGUCUGGAAUGAAUGGAAAAACGGAGAAAAGCUGUCUUUUUUGUAUUAUUUUGAAUUUACUAAUCAGGUGAAAAGGCCUGAGCAUGAAAAAAGACGAGAAGACCCUUAGAGUUUUUUAAUUAUUUGGUUGGGGUGAUCAAAGAUAAAAACAUCUUUUUUAUAUAAGACGGUUAUCAUGUAAAGAUAAACUACCUAAGGGAUAACAGCAUAAUCUUUUUUGGUUUAUGACCUCGAUGUUGGACUAGGAUAUUAGUUAACUAGCAGUUAACUCCUUUUUUUCUGUUCGAAAAAUUUUUCCU
rnacentral:rRNA from 1 species